rnacentral:rRNA from 1 species
AGUAUUUUGACUAUACAAAGGUAUUGAAAUAAGACUUUAAUUGAGUGCUAAGAGAAUGGAAUUUCAUAAAAUUUCUUUUUUAAUUUUAAAAAUUGAAAUUAAUUUUAUAUGUGAAGAAACAAUAAUAAAAAUUAAGGACAAGAAGACCCUAAGAAUUUUAAAAAUUUCAAUAAAAUACAGCAUUUUAUUGAAAUUUUUUAAUUGGGGCGAUUAUUAAAUAUUAAAAACUUUAAUAUUUUUAAAAAAGAACCAAUAAUAUUGGUUAUUUGAAAAAAUACUCUAGGGAUAACAGCGUAAUAAUUUUUGAUAGUUCUUAUAGACAAAAUAGUUUGCGACCUCGAUGUUGGAUUAGGAUUCUUUUUUAAUGAAGAAGUUAAAAAAAGAAGUUUGUUCAACUUUUAAAAUCCU